rnacentral:rRNA from 1 species
UACGUAGGGUGCAAGCGUUGUCCGGAAUUAUUGGGCGUAAAGAGCUCGUGAGCGGUCUGUCGCGUCUGCUGUGAAAACCUAGGGCUUAACUCUGGGCGUGCAGUGGGUACGGGCAGGCUAGAGUGCGGUAGGGGAGACUGGAAUUCCUGGUGUAGCGGUGAAAUGCGCAGAUAUCAGGAGGAACACCGGUGGCGAAGGCGGGUCUCUGGGCCGUAACUGACGCUGAGGAGCGAAAGCAUGGGGAGCGAACAGG